rnacentral:lncRNA from 10 species
UCAAAGCUGGAGAUGCAUCCCCUCACCUUAGGCUGUGACAAAUACCCAAGCCAUGUCCCAAGACCUGCAGUGGCCUCCAAGGCCCAAUUCAUGUUCAAAGAGCGAAUAAGACAAAGACUCAAGAAACAUCUGUUAAGAAGAAAAACAUUUUUUGAUACAAACAGGAAAAUCAGAUAGUGUCCAGGCUUUUUGCAUCUGAGAAUGAUAAGGACCUGGGCUGGAAUCUGUAAGUUGGCUACCAUAGCUAUGUAACCUCAAUAGAGGCCAGAGAGUGGUGACAUUUGAGGACCAGUUCCAAGAAGAGAGAAAUAUUUUGAAACUUCAGUGAGAAAUGGCUGGUAAAGAAAAUGUCAACAGACUCAUGAGAAGCAAAAAUAAUACAAUGGUGGUAAAAAUUGUAUUCCUUUAAAACCUUCUAAUGAACUGACCAAUUCAACUAUAGUAAUUGUCACACAUAAAUUUGAGGAUAAUAAUCAAACCCUGAAGUUGUUACCAACUGAAGAUGACCCCCAAUGUCAACAUAUGACAUUAAUGUAAGACAUUUCACCCUAACAAUAAUAGUAAACAGAAACAAAUUGUUGCAGAAAAACAAAAGCAAGAGGCUGACACACCCAAGAAGUCUGUGAUAGAAUCUUAUUGAGGCCAAAUUGUUCAGUCUAAGUUUAAUUCAUUUAGAAAACCUCUACAAGUCAAAGAUGAGAGUUCUGCAGCAACAAAGAAAUUUUCAAUUACUAUUCCUAAAGCAACAGAGCCUCAGCUUAUAAACACCAGCAGCGUAACAGUGAAGAGUAAUAGAGUCUCAAAUAUAACUGCUACUUGCUAAGUUUGUGUGAUCUCUUAUUAGAAGUCAUCCAAUAAUACCCAGGACACUGUGAAAGAAGGCAUCGGUAGAAUCUCAGCCUUGUUUACAAUCAGGAAAAGGUCUCAUAGAAAAGAAUUAUUACAAUCAAAAACAGUUUUAUCUAGGGUCAAAACCAGUUCCUCUCAGGACAUAGAAAAGAGAUAAGGCACAAUCAAGAAGAUUAUCAACUCAAUCCAAAGAAAACUCAGAAGAGAGAAAAGCUCAUCUGAAUGAGUGGAAAGCUGGCAAAGAAAGAGUGCUGAAAAGGCCUCCUAACUGAAUAGUUACCUAGUAUGAACCUUAAGAACAAAAUGAAAAACCAGUUGGGUCCUUUUGGACUACCAUGGCAGAAGAUGAACAAAAAUUAUUUACUGAAAAGGUAAGCGACACAUUUUCUGAAUGCCUAAACCUAAUUAAUGAAGGACGCGCAGAAGAAGAAAUACUGGUCACACUGAACGAUCUGAUUAAAAAUAUUCCAGAUGCCAAAAAUCUUGUAAAAUAUUGAAUAUGUCUUGCACAUACUGAACCAACCCCAAGUCCUAUUGAAAGUAUUCUCGCAAUCUAUGAGAAGGCCAUUCUGGCAGGGGCUCAACCUAUUGAAGAGAUGUGACACACAGUUGUAGAUAUUCUACCAAUAAAGAGUUAAGAAAAUGUCAGUUUUGGAGAAAAUAUUGAGGAGGCUUGUGCAACCAAGGAACAAGUCCAAGAAGUCAACACUGAAGAUACAACUGUUAAUUCAGAGUCAGGAAGACCAGAAAUGGGGAAUAGACAUCAUAUUUUUUGUAUGCUUCCACAGGCACUGAAGAGAACAGACAUCAUGGAAACGUGCUAUUUCAAGAUUCUGAAAAAUAGCAAGAUGACAAAACAAAAGAUCCAACCAAUGAUGUUAAAAUCCCCAAUACAGAAACUAGGGCAAGUUGCUUAAUUAAAUAUAAUGUAUUUACUAUGACAUACUUGCAAAGUGUAAAAAAGAAGGUGCAAUUUGAUUAAACAAAUUAUACAUUUAAAGAGCUCAAGUUUUAAAUACCAGUGAGAUGUUCUCAAUGUCAGCGUAAAACUUUAAAAUUGCCAGGUAUGUUAAAAGACCAUUAUCCCUGCGUGUCUUCAUUGGAAGAGUUAACAGAGUUGGGAAGUGACACUGAUCCCUUUGUAUGCUGUCCUAAUGCAGCACUAUGCUGAAUGUACUCUGAGACUGAAAUAACAGAUGA